AUAUUUGCUUGACUGCACAUGAGACCUGGGAUUUGAAUCGUGGGGAUGAAAAUAAAGGGAUACAGGGAUACACAACACACCUCGGAUUCACAGGAUAUGUUGCCUAUCUUUACUUUCUACUCCAACAUUUUCAGCUUUUUACACCGGAUUAUACUUUUUUUUCCAAGCAUUCGCCUCCUGCUAAGGAUCCCGCUACACCAUCUGAAUCUAUUUUUUCUGACAUCCGAUCAUAUAUGGCGUACGGAACAUCACCUGGGACUAUGCAUUGAGCUGUCUGAACGGUGAAUGGUGUCGGAUAUGUCACCCUUCGAUCCACGUGAGAGGCGGCAGUGGCAUUCCCAGUAGCUGUCCGGUGUCUUCGGUUAUGGGCAGCAUGCCAGCUGUACUGACUCGGCGUCGUGUGACUUACCUUGUUCCACGCAGCCGGAGAAGCCAGACCCGCUCUCCAUGGUUUCUGGUUUCUCUCUCCGGCGGCGCUCUAGGCCUUCUUGUUUAUAGCUAUGUAGCGUGGGAGGUCAACGUCUUUGCAGUUAAGCAGGGCGUUGUUUUGUAGGCUUUUCAUAGUUUAUGUAGGUUGUGAGUGGACGCCAGCAUGUAAAUUAGUUGGAGGUCGUAUGCUUGCUUGGACAGCUACAUAUCCUUAGAUAACUCGCCCAUGCUGCCAUGCAUGCAUGUAGCACACAUAUGAGAUCGGGCUCAAAGAUGCAAAACACGACGAUACUUGGUGCUUUGACUAAUGAACAUGAUGGGGCAGUUUGACAUUUUCUUCUUGACGAGCAGAGGCAGCUUGACACUUGACUUGAAGAUAUGAGAUUCCUCAAGAUAUACAAAAGUGCGGAACUCGAUCAACAUGGACCACGUAGGUGGAAAACUGAAUAGUAUGUUCGUCGGGCAUGUCCAACAUCCAUCCUUAAACCUCUCGCAUCCGUUUGUACCACGGAAGUCCAUUUAAUGCGGUCCUGUAUCGGUCCACGGUGCGGUCCGAACAUACUUUCUUCUGCAAAUCAGAGACAAAUGUGAGGAGCUUUCCGGGAGUCCGGAUCGCUCCCAUGCCCGCUUCUGACCGUCCUGACCCACCCAAAAUCCCUUCGCUCUCCCGUGCACGCUUCCAGCUGGGCGCUAACUGCAUGCAUUCAUGUCGAUGUAGAGCGCGCCGCUCCACAUUGAAAACGGUUCAGAGCGGACGUGACCUCUCACUGCCUCGGCCAUUGAAGCGACGCGCCGACCGAAGGCGCCGCCCGCUGCACGCCUGGCUGAACACGCCUCCUCGCCGCGUUCAAAUGUCUCCAUUAAACCUGCAUGGAAGCCGAGAAACCUACUCCGGUCACACGUCCAUUCACGAGCCGGCUGGUUAAACGCAAUGCCGGGCAAACUCCUCUUGUCCGCCCUCUGUUUAAACGAGGCCACAAGCCGGGCAAGAAUCGCACCACUCCGCCGCUCCCCAUCUACUCCUUCCACCAUUUUCUCCAUCCUUUCGAUGACAUCCGACGAGCAGGAAGAGCAAUUCUCCGGCAUAAAAGUCGGCUGGGUGGCCAACCGAGCCGGCCAGAUACGAGCGAGGUAGCUGGCUGCUCCACCUCCCUCGCCUAGCCCGACCGAACAAGUUGCCGCCCCAAGCCGGCGCGUGGUUCAACACGUACCUCGCCGCUCCAAGCCAGCUCGCGGAGGAGUGACGAGUUGAUCCAGGCCCCGGCAUGGCAGGGAGCCCGGUGGCACACGUGCUCACCACUGCCGUCAACGAUGCCGCAUCGUACCGUGCCUCCCGUGCCUACGAUCGUGCCAUCUGCCGUCAACGCGCGGGUAACCGUGAAAGAAGUCCGAUGCACGAAGAUCGACGAAUCGAAGGCCAGUGCGUCCGCAUCCGCCACCAACAUCGAGGGAAACUAGAACACGGAAGACCGUCGCCGCUUGGGUACUAGGAAGGCCACCGCGAGGCGACGCCGACGUACACAGCCGGUGUCUUCUCCGGUUCUUUAUCUCGGACCAUCGUCGCCCCCCAUCUGGGCUCCACGUAAGCAGAGGCGCCCCCCUUCCCCUCCAGCUGAAGCAUCAGCCGGUGGUUCCACUCUGAUGAGCGGUGGGAAAGCGAGCCGCCCUUUGCGCUGAAGUAUAUAACUCCAGGGCUCCCGGCAGUCCGAGCGGGCUGCCGGACAUGGGAAAGAUAAAGGGACCCGCCGCGACCGGCCGUAGAUUAGUGUAGUGUAUCCGUGUCGUGGAAGUGGAGCUCCGCAUGACCGUAUGUGCACAUAGUUUUACCUUGUUUGUUAAAAUAUGUCCAAAAUAUAAACAUUUUCGUUUCGUUUGUAUGAAAUACGUCGUGUUUAUAUGAAUUCGGCCGCGUUUGCAAUAAUUGCAUCCGGUUUGUUGAUAAAUACGUCAUUCGCAAAUUAUCAAGGAAAUUUUAUUGUUUUUAAUUAAUGAAAAUGACUAUUCUUUUCUUAUUUAAAAAAUACCAUUCAUGAAAUCCAAGGUUGUGAUUGAGUACUUCCCCGCUUCUAUGGUGAUGGCCUUCAAAAACAAUUAUGGAGAAAAAAAUCCUUCUGAAAGAUCUGAAAGAAAAUUGUAUGACUUCUCUAAUUUUAGCUUUGAGCCGGAAAAGAUUAGCAUGCGACGCCUGCACCGCCACCGGCCCUGACCCACGUCAGGGGCGUUUGCGCCUCCAAGAGUCCGUGCUAUUGGCUAAGCUUGUGCGGACCACGUCUUGGGCAUGACUCAGUUAGAUGCCUCAAUAUCAGAUUUACGGCUAUUUUUGUCUGAGGCCGACAACAAGGGAGUUGUUUAGUUUUAUGAUUUGGUUAGUCAAUUUCUAAUAUAUAGUUGGUUACCAAAUCAACUCACACAAAACAUGUUUUUGCCAAUUUUGUGAUGUAGAACUCAAACUUUUGCAAACAUAACCAACAUAAGCCCACAAUAGUAGUUGGGCCGAGGCAAAACAACAAUCCGUUAACCCAUGGUGGUGUCAUCUUAAAGUAUAAAUGAACAAAAUAAAGAUAAAUAAAAUGAAAGGAGUGAAGUUUUCUAAAGAAGAAUGAAGUAGUGGCAUUAGUAUUACCCUUUAAGAAGAAAGAAAUAAAAAAAUAACGACAGAAUAGGCGCACAAUUCACUUAAAAGCUGCACUUUUUAUAAUAUACAAGAAUAAGCGUAUAAUAGUAAAAAUGCAAAAAAAAGGUGUUAUAGAAGGGAAUGCAUUAGUGGCAUUGGUAUUACCCUUAAUGAACAAAGAAUAUGAAAUAGAAAGUAAAACAAAUCAAAGUAAUGAAGUUAUCUAAGAAAGAACGAAUUAGUAGCAUUAGUGUUAUCCUUUAAGAAAAAAGCAAGUGAAAAAAAUGCACACAAUUUUGCACUGAAAUUGCACUUUUUGUAAUAUGAGAAGAAUAAGCAUAUAAUAGUGCAAUUUUUGCACUACAUAAUUUGCACACAUUAUGUAAGUAUUUGCCUCUAUACUUACACACAAAAAGAAAAUAAAAAACGUUUUCUAAGAAAGAAUGAAUUAGUGGCAGUCAAAUUACUAUUUAAGAAGAAAGGAAAUAAAAACUAAAAGAAAUAGUGACAAAAAUUGCUCACAGUUUGCACUUAAAUUGGGUUUUUUAAUAUGCAAAAAUAAGCAUAUAAGAGUGAAUUUUGCAAAAAAAUAAUAUCUAAGAAGGAAUGGAUAGUGCCAUUAGUACUAGCCUUAAAGAGGAAAAAACUGAAAUUUUUUCUAAGAAGAACGGAUAAGUAGCAUUGAUAUUGCCCUUCAAGAAGAAAGAACUUGAAAAAAAACUUUAAAAAUAUUGCACAAUACUUCGCAUUGAAAAUGUAGUUCUUAUAACAUGCACAGAAUAACCAUGCGAGAAAUGUGUGGUAGCUCUCGGGAGUCCCUAUAGGCCUACACCCUCGUGAAUAGUAAAUUCAAAAAAAUAGGGAAAAAAUAAAAAAUUCUGAAACUAUGUGACAUCAAAUAUUGUCGAUGGGUGAUCUUUGAUAUCGGAGCUACGGUGCAACUCCUAUAUUGUUUGGCUAGGGGUUAAAACACUCUAGGUGACAUGACAAAGUAAGGUAUCCAGGUUCAGGCCACUGGCGAGGUGUAACACCCUACCUCCUACCCUUGUGUUCUUCCUAUAUAUCCAUCGGGCCGAAUUUCGGCUAGCUAUUACCACCUCCCUUCAAAUGACCCAUCUCCUCUCCUUUUAUAUCCUUGGGCCAAAGUUGACCCUCCUUCUUCGUACGCCAAACAUGACGAACCGAACAGAGAUAGUUGGUAACGCUUGUGGAGGAUGCCACCACAUACCUUCUUACCUGGCGCACGUCGACUACCGUCAGCGAACAAAGUCUGGCAUGGUAAAGUUGUAUCAGGUGUAUGGGUGCUGCCGACGUGCACGUCCCGUCAGAGGAAGUGACUAGACAAGAUCCCCGAGGACGCAAUGUUGUGUGUCAUAGUCACCCACGGGCCCCGAGCACCAUGCUUUUUUGGGUCGCCCGGGAUCCUCAUCUACCCGAGCACCAAGACGACGGAAUAUCUUUGAGAGGGGAAGCCCAACGACGUAUCUAUCCCUUGCUAUAGACACAAGCCCCGUCCAACGGAGGUACUGUCAGGCCAGCACUUUCUCUGGAGGCCAAAGGGCCCCGUUUCCAUGUCAUCAACAAACAUGCUCAAACGUUUUAGGUGAUUACACAUUUUCGUCGAGAAAUAUCAUCUGAUUAGCUCUACACAUGGGAAACAAAAAUCAAUGCUCAAAACUUUGAGUAGUGAAAUAUUUUUCUUGGAUAGAGCUCCUCGAAUGUUUUGUCUACACACAAAGUUUGAGCAUAUUUGAUGUCACGAAAUUUCAGAUUUUAUGAUUUUAUUUUUUGAAUUUACUUUUCAUGAGGGUGUAGGGACACCAAGAAGUUAAAAACCACUCUCUAAGCAUAUAAUAGUGCAAUAUUUGCACUUCAGUAUAAUUCACAAACAACACAUUUUAUAAUAUUUGCGUGUAUAUAUUUACACUCGCCCAAUAUCCCAAAUAUACUCAUAAAAAUCAACUAAAAAGGGAGAAAAACAUACAAACAGAAAAAAAAGGAUAACGAGCUUCGAGCCCAAUAGGAAAAUCGACUAACUCCCAACAGAAGCAGUUCAAAAGUUCAGUCUAAGAAGGCAUGAAGCAACAAAGAAAGUAUGAAUCUUGACAAAAUAAUCGAUGAUCAAAAAAUCAACUCACACUUACACAAAUUUAAAAGUCAGCCAACUUACGUAUAACUAAAGUGUUUUCGUUUUGCACUCAUAGUUGUUUGUCACUCCUACAAAAAAUGCAAAGCUCAUCUCUAUGUUAAUUUUGUUGACUUCACUCACGCUGGAACCUGUUCGUUCGUUCUAUACACGAUCAAGGAUGUUGCACACGAGGAGCGGAGAUCUCUAUGUCUGAUGGAGAGGCAGGAUUUAAGUUGUGCACUCAACUGGUCGUAUUUUUUUUCAUUUUCGUGCACUACGAUGUGUCUUAACCUUAUAUAUACUACCUGUCUACAUCUAAGGUCUAGUAGAUACAAGCAAGCUGUAGUGCAGGCACUCAUUCAUUCGAGAAGUCAGCGAUGUCGCAAGGAGAGCAAGCACAAACACGAGCAAUGAAGAGCUUGGCUGCUGUUCUCCUCGUAGGGAGCCUGCUCCAGCUCGCCGGCUGCAGCCCUCCACCGGACCCGGUGACCUGCACGGAUGGCACGUCCAACUGCACGGUCACCAACACGUACGGCUCCUUCACGGACCGCACCAUCUGCCACGCGGCCAACGUCGUCUACCCGAGCACCGAGCAGGAGCUGGUCGCGGCCGUGGCGGCCGCCGCGUCGGCCAAACGCAAGAUGAAGGUGGCCACCAAGCACUCGCACAGCGGCCCCAAGCUGGCGUGCCCCGGCGGCAGCGAGGGCACGAUCAUAAGCACCACACGGCUGAACCGGACGGUUUCCAUCGACGCCGAGAGGCAGCUCAUCACGGUGGAGAGCGGCAUGGUCCUCCGGGACCUGAUCCAGGCCGCCGCCGCAGCAGGGCUGUCCUUGCCGCACUCGCCGUACUGGUACGGCCUGACCAUCGGCGGGCUCCUCGCGACGGGCGCGCACGGGAGCGGGCUGUGGGGCAAGGGAGGCGCCGUGCACGAGUACGUGGUCGGUCUGAGGAUCGUGACGCCGGCGCCGGCGUGCGAUGGUUUCGCCAUGGUGAGGGAGCUAGGCGCCGAUCACCCGGACCUGGACGCCGCCAAGGUCUCCCUUGGGGUCCUCGGCGUCGUCUCCCAGGUGACUCUGGCCCUGCAGCCGCUGUUCAAGCGGUCGGUGACGUUCGUGGAGCGCAACGAGUCGGACUUCACGGCGCGGGUGGCCGAGUGGGGCCGUCUCCACGAGUUCGCCGACAUGAUAUGGCAGCCGCAGCACAACAAGGUCAUCUAUCGCCAGGACGACCGCGUCGACGUCUCGACGCCGGGCAAUGGCCUCGGCGAGUUGUUCCUUUUCCGCUCCGUCCCCACCGCCCUGCUCGUGGGCGGAAGAGCCAUAGAGGAGCAACUGCAGGAGAACGGCACCGAUAUCGCCCGGUGCGCGGCCGAGCAAGAGGGGUUCACGAGACAGCUGCCGGCCUUCGGCUUCACGAACGAUGGAGUCUCCUUCACGGGGUACCCGAUUGUGGGGUACCAACACCGCAUCCAGGCGUCUGGCUCAUGCAUCGACGGCCCAGAGGAUGCCCUCCUCUCCUCCUGCGCCUGGGACCCGCGCAUCCGGGGAUCUUUCCUGUACAACUCCGGCUUUAGCGUCGCACUCUCCAAGGCGCCGGCGUUCAUAGCCGACAUGCUACAGCUCCGGGACCUCAACCCGGACGCAUUCUGUGCCGCCCUCGACGGUAGGGUGGGCUUGGUCCUCCGCGUACCUCGGCAAGCACGAGGACUCUAUCGAUGUCGACAUCCUCUUCUACCGGAGCCGCACCGACGGCAUGCCGCACGCCCAUGCCGAUGUGGUGGACGAGAUCGAACAGAUGGCGUUGGGUAACUAUGGCGGUCUGCCACACUGGGGCAAGAACCGCAACUUCGCCUUCGACGGUGCCAUCGCAAGGUACCCCAAAGCUGAUAAGUUCUUUAAGGUAAAGAGCAGUUACGACACCGACGGGCUCUUCUCCAGUGAGUGGACCGACCAGGUGCUUGGUAUCAACGGAAGUCCCAACAUCAUCGAGAAUCGUUGUGCCAUUGAAGGACUCUGCAUCUGCUCCGACGACUCACACUGCGCACCGGAGCAGGGCUACUUCUGCCGGCUAGGGAAGGUUUACAAGAAGGCUAGAGUUUGCUCCUCCGAGGAGGAUUAUUAGGGAUGAUGGUAGCACUCAUGUUUCCCACUAUUUGUGAAAUUGUGAUUCGUUUUCUUAAGUACGAGCAUAUGUACUAUAUUUGUGGUUUACCCUCUAUUAAUUCAAUAAUAGUCAUGUUUUGAC